AGGACGAACGCUGGCGGCGUGCUUAACACAUGCAAGUCGAGCGGAAAGGCCACUUCGGUGGUACUCGAGCGGCGAACGGGUGAGUAACACGUGAGUAAUCUGCCCUUGGCUUUGGGAUAGCCACCGGAAACGGUGAUUAAUACCGGAUACGACCGCUCCUCGCAUGAGGUGGUGGUGGAAAGUUUUUCGGCCAGGGAUGUGCUCGCGGCCUAUCAGCUUGAUGGUGAGGUAAUGGCUCACCAUGGCUUCGACGGGUAGCCGGCCUGAGAGGGUGACCGGUCACACUGGGACUGAGACACGGCCCAGACUCCUACGGGAGGCAGCAGUGGGGAAUAUUGGACAAUGGGCGGAAGCCUGAUCCAGCAACGCCGCGUGAGGGAUGACGGCCUUCGGGUUGUAAACCGUCUUUCGGUGGGACGAAGCGAAAGUGACGGUACCACUAAAGAAGCACCGGCCAACUACGUGCCAGCAGCCGC
rnacentral:rRNA from 1 species